rnacentral:rRNA from 1 species
GGCGCACGGGUGCGUAACACGUGGGUAACCUGCCCUUUGGUGGGGAAUAACUUCGCGAAAGCGAAGCUAAUUCCGCAUAAGAUCCGCAAGGAUGAAAGCCGAAAGGCGCCGAAGGAGGGGCCCGCGCACGAUUAGCUAGUUGGUAGGGUAACGGCCUACCAAGGCUAUGAUCGUUAGCUGGUCUGAGAGGAUGGCCAGCCACACUGGAACUGAGACACGGUCCGGACUCCUACGGGAGGCAGCAGUGGGGAAUCUUGCACAAUGGGCGAAAGCCUGAUGCAGCGACGCCGCGUGGGGGAUGAAGCUUCUCGGAGUGUAAACCCCUUUCGACCCGGACGAAUGCCCCGCAAGGGGACUGACGGUACGGGUAUAAGAAGCCCCGGCUAACUACGUGCCAGCAGCCGCGGUAAUACGUAGGGGGCCAGCGUUGCUCGGAAUUACUGGGUGUAAAGGGUUCGUAGGCGGUGCGGCAAGUUGGAAGUGAAAUCUCUGGGCUCAACCCAAAGGCUGCUUUCAAAACUGCUGUGCUUGAGUGUGGGAGAGGCGCGUGGAAUUGCAGGUGUAGCGGUGAAAUGCGUAGAUAUCUGCAGGAACACCCGUGGCGAAAGCGGCGCGCUGGACCACAACUGACGCUGAGGAACGAAAGCUAGGGGAGCAAACAGGAUUAGAUACCCUGGUAGUCCUAGCCCUAAACGAUCAGGACUUGGGGUGGCUCACGUUCGUGAGUCGUCCCGGAGCUAACGCGUUAAGUCCUGCACCUGGGGAGUACGGUCGCAAGACUGAAACUCAAAGGAAUUGACGGGGGCCCGCACAAGCGGUGGAACAUGUGGUUCAAUUCGACGCUACGCGAGGAACCUUACCUGGGCUCGAAAUG